UUGUCUCUCUCAGCCUUUUAGCUAAGAUGAAGUGCAUUAUCUCCUCUUAUAGUUUAAUAUCUGAUAUAUCCCUUCUCUGAGGACAAUAUAUGAAAUAGAUUUUUAUAGCAGGGAGAUGAAAUAGGAGCUCGUUCCAUCCACUCUGCAAUCCAUCUGAUACAGUAGUGGCUCGGGGAAUGGUAUACCCCUU
rnacentral:snRNA from 1 species